AUUGAACGCUGGCGGCAGGCCUAACACAUGCAAGUCGAACGAGUGGCGGACGGGUGAGUAAUGUCUGGGAAACUGCCUGAUGGCGGGGGAUAACUACUGGAAACGGUAGCUAAUACCGCAUACCAUCAGAUGUGCCCAGAUGGGAUUAGCUUGUUGGUGGGGUAACGGCUCACCAAGGCGACGAUCCCUAGCUGGUCUGAGAGGAUGACCAGCCACACUGGAACUGAGACACGGGCCAGACUCCUACGGGAGGCAGCAGGGGGGAAAAUUGGACAAUGGGGGCAAUCCUGAUGCAGCCAUGCCGCGGGGUUGAAGAAGGCCUUCGGGUUUUAAAGGACGUUCAGCGGGGAGGCGGUACCCGCAGAAGAAGCACCGGCUAACUCCGUGCCAGCAGCCGCGGUAAUUA
rnacentral:rRNA from 1 species